rfam:Ovis aries breed Texel chromosome 1, whole genome shotgun sequence.
UCCCUGGUGGCUCAAACAGUAGAGAACCUGCCUGCAGUGCAGGAGACUCGGGUUCAAUCCCAGAGUCGGGAA